CAGUCGCCACGGGAAUACAGAGGGUGCGAGCGUUAAUCGGAUUUACUGGGCGUAAAGCGUGCGUAGGCGGCUUUUUAAGUCGGAUUUGAAAUCCCUGAGCUUAACUUAGGAAUUGCAUUCGAUACUGGGAAGCUAGAGUAUGGGAGAGGAUGGUAGAAUUCCAGGUGUAGCGGUGAAAUGCGUAGAGAUCUGGAGGAAUACCGAUGGCGAAGGCAGCCAUCUGGCCUAAUACUGACGCUGAGGUACGAAAGCAUGGGGAGCAAACAGGAUUAGAUACCCCGGUAGUCCCUGUCUCUUAUAC
rnacentral:rRNA from 1 species